rnacentral:rRNA from 1 species
UACGAAGGGGGCUAGCGUUGCUCGGAAUCACUGGGCGUAAAGCGCACGUAGGCGGAUUGCUAAGUCAGGGGUGAAAUCCUGGAGCUCAACUCCAGAACUGCCUUUGAUACUGGCGACCUUGAGUCCGGGAGAGGUGAGUGGAACUGCGAGUGUAGAGGUGAAAUUCGUAGAUAUUCGCAAGAACACCAGUGGCGAAGGCGGCUCACUGGCCCGGUACUGACGCUGAGACGGCGAAAAGCGGUGGGGAGCGAACAGG